UACGUAGGGCGCAAGCGUUGUCCGGAUUUAUUGGGCGUAAAGAGCGUGUAGGCGGCCAAGCAGGUCCGCUGUGAAAACUCGAGGCUCAACCUCGAGACGUCGGUGGAAACCGUUUGGCUAGAGUCCGGAAGAGGAGAGUGGAAUUCCCGGUGUAGCGGUGAAAUGCGCAGAUAUCGGGAAGAACACCCGUGGCGAAGGCGGCUCUCUGGGACGGUACUGACGCUGAGACGCGAAAGCGUGGGGAGCGAACAGG
rnacentral:rRNA from 1 species